rnacentral:lncRNA from 13 species
GGAGAAUGCCUCUCUGUCUCUCCAUCUAGAGCUCUAGGGAGAGGAGCACUCCAGCACAGGAACUUCACAUGAAGAGCUCAGUGGGCGUUGCAUGGCUCACCCCAUGCUGGUUUGCAGAGCUUGAGAGGGGAACACACUGGUUUGGAUUUGAGGCAUGGAGAGGUGGACUCAGAUGAGACUAGGAUUCUCGUGAGGGUGCAGCUGUGCCAAUGAAGCACUUUCCCAUGCCUCAGCAGCCAUGGGGUGUGAAUAGCUCACAGCAUGUUCACAUGCUGAGCCCCGACUCACUCUUCCAGGACCUCUUCAAUGCACCUCCAUCCCUCCCAGAGCUCUCUUGGUGUUUUUGGGUUGGGCUUUUGUGCUCAUUACCAAGGGCAUCCAUGUCAAAUUGCCAUGUGGUUCUCUUCCCCAAUCAGGCCUGGCUCAUGGAGGGCCAUGAACACUGGCAAUGCCACCACCAUGACUGACCCUUGUUAUCAGGGGCUGCUGUUUCCUGUGACAUCUGCCAAUGGCUGAAAAGAAGCUGGGUAAUGGGUUGAAUGGUGACCCCCAAAAGGAAUGUCCAAGUCCUAUCCCCAGUACCUGACCCUCGACUUUUCCACCAGCUUGUCCACUGAUGAAAAGGAGAAGCCAGUCAGGAAUCAGGAGUUGGCUACCUAUCAUGGGAGUAGGCUGGUUAUUCCAGGGUUUGGUCCCCUCUCGCUCUCUUGCUCUUUUAUGCUGCCUUGCCUUCCACCUUCUGCCAUGGGGUGACACACCACAAGGGUCCUCACCAGAUGCCAACACCUCGAUAUUGGACUUCCCAGCCUUCAGAACCAUAAGGCUUCAGUCAAGCAACCUUCCUCAUCAAGUGGACCAGGCACAGCUCCUACUUAUCCCUGAGUAGUGGGUAUCAGUUUCCUGCCAGUCAUGGAGUUGUUCAAAGCCCAUCACAUACUCCGCAGGAACCAGGGGCACCUCACCCUCUUGUUACCACCCGCUGCCCCUGCCUGUUCACUCUGCUCCUGAGGGCAACGCCUGUGUGGCUGGCAUCCAAUGCUGUGUGCACCUCUUCCAAGGUGCAAGUGUAUGUGAAUAAUAACUGCUGUCAAUUUCAUCUUUUAAGCGUCCGGUGUAAUGUGUUUAGUCAUCCUCAUAAUUCUAGUGCGGGAUCUCUCCCUCACCAAUGGGGUGAACAGGAGGGAACGAAAACAACGUGUAAAAUAUCUAGACACUGCAAGGUCCACAUUUAGAGCCCAGAAAAUGUUAGUUAAGGCCAUUAUUGUUUUCAUUUAGAAAAAGGACAAUAAUUUGGGUUUCUCUUAAUGAAAUUUGAUUGGCAGUAUGGUUAGCUCAUUGUAUUAGUCUUAGGUUUCUCCAAAGAGCUUCUCUGGAGUUUUCUUUCCCUCAUUAGUGAUCAUAAAGAUAUGCUAAUCCUCAACUGUGCACCAAAUGGCAGCUGCAUGCUUGAGACCAACACUGAAAAUCAGUCAUGGAAUCCCCGCACAUCUGAACAAGGGCCA